rnacentral:rRNA from 1 species
CGGAGUUAGCCGGUGCUUAUUCAUUAGGUACCGUCACUAUCUUCCCUAAUAAAAGAGCUUUACGACCCAAAGGCCUUCUUCACUCACGCGGUAUUGCUGCGUCAGGCUUUCGCCCAUUGCGCAAAAUUCCCCA